GAUGAACGCUGGCGGCGUGCCUAAUACAUGCAAGUCGAGCGGUAAGGCCCUUCGGGGUACACGAGCGGCGGACGGCUGAGUAACACGUAGGAACGUACCCCAAACUGAGGGAUAAGCACCAGAAAUGGUGCCUAAUACCGCAUGUGGCCCACGGGCUAAAGCUCCGGCGGUUUGGGAACGGCCUGCGUCCGAUUAGCUAGUUGGUGAGGUAAUUGCUCACCAAGGCGACGAUCGGUAGCUGGUCUGAGAGGAUGAUCAGCCAGACUGGGACUGAGACACGGCCCAGACUCCUACGGGAGGCAGCAGUAGGGAAUUUUCCACAAUGGGGGCAACCCUGAUGGAGCAACGCCGCGUGCAGGAUGAAGGCCUUCGGGUUGUAAACUGCUUUUAUCUGUGACGAUUAUGACGGUAGCAGAUGAAUAAGGACCUGCUAACUACGUGCCAGCAGCCGCAGUAA
rnacentral:rRNA from 1 species